CACCUAAUAGCUAGCUCACCCACAUAAAACCAACACAACUAUAUGUAUAACCCCUAAUACACAACAUCCUAAAAAAUAAAACAUUUUUCCUCCC
rnacentral:rRNA from 1 species